GAUGAACGCUGGCGGCGUGCUUAACACAUGCAAGUCGAACGAAGCACUUUAUUUGAUUUCCUUCGGGACUGAUUAUUUUGUGACUGAGUGGCGGACGGGUGAGUAACGCGUGGGUAACCUGCCUUGUACAGGGGGAAAACGGUUGAAAAGGGCUGCUAUUACGGCAUAAGGGCACGGCAUCCAUUGAUGAAUUGGAAAAAAUUCCGGUGGUAUAAGAUGGACCCGCGUUGGAUUGGCUAGUUGGUGAGGUAACGGCCCACCAAGGCGACGAUCCAUAGCCGACCUGAGAGGGUGACCGGCCACAUUGGGACUGAGACACGGCCCAAACUCCUACGGGAGGCAGCAGUGGGGAAUAUUGCACAAUGGGCGAAAGCCUGAUGCAGCGACGCCGCGUGAGCGAAGAAGUAUUUCGGUAUGUAAAGCUCUAUCAGCAGGGAAGAUAAUGACGGUACCUGACUAAGAAGCACCGGCUAAAUACGUG
rnacentral:rRNA from 1 species